rnacentral:lncRNA from 1 species
UACAAUUUCAAAGCAGACCCACCUUAAAAACAUUUUGUUUAAUAAAAUAACUUAAUUAGAAGAGAGCUUCUGGCUGAUGUGGUUGAGGCUGUGAUAAUUUUUCCUUCUCAAAUCAUUUUCUCUGUUUAUUAUACUUAAUUAUAGUGUAAUUAUGUAUCCAUCCUCUAGGCAAAUUAUGCAAUCAGAAAAUGUGAGUGGUUCAUUUGCCACUGCUGUUGGGACCAGUGUUUACAUCCCUAGUACAAAAUAUGAGCAUAAUUCCUAUUAUUUAUAAUGCUACGUAUAUGCAUAUAUAUAAAAGAAGUUUCACACAGGAUGAAGGAUUGGUGUAAAUAUUUUAUUGGCACUCAUUUUUGCAUCAUUCACUCAAUUAGUUUGUGGCCUACUAAUAAUGGAGGUACCAAAGCUCAGGUAAGUAAAAUCUUUACGUUGAAUUUUCUCAAACACAAAUACAUGGCUGAGGAAGGUGGAAGUUGCACAGCUGAGCUUUAAUUUUGACUGGAGGGUCAUUAUUACUUUUAAGAGCUGUUUUUGCCUUUCACUUCCUAAUAUUUCAGGAGUUAGCACAACAAGAGGGAAAGGAGCCCCACAAUAUCCAGUUGUGGAGUUGUGUUCACAUCAUGGGUUCAGACUAACCUAUUUUUAGCCAUGUGCUUCACAAACUUUCUAACCAUGGCAGCCCUGGCUUUAGCAGACUGAGUUGUUUGUUCUUCCCCUUGUUUCCCUUGAUGGGAGUUGACAGGUCAUGUUUGAACAUACCAAAACGUGAAGCCAAGUAUCCAAAUCUUAAAAACCCUCCUAAGAUGGAUGUUUUCUCCUUCUUUGGCCAGCUCUCAGAGUUAAUACAAACUGAAUUCUCACUUGGCACUUUCAGCUACUCUGGCUGUGUUUUUUUUGCAGAAUGAAGCCACUCUUACCAGUGGAGCAGGUGGGGGAGGUGACACAUCUACUGCUGGAGCUCAGCCCUCCAUGUUUGUUACAGCUGGCAGAGGCCCCAGAUGAAGUGAGGAGCCAUGUGGAGAAGUCCUGCAGCCGCCUCGGAACCCUUCCCAAACGCUCUCUAGGUUUUACACUCUUUCAAACAACUUCAUUACCUGCCUUUUUUUUGUUGUUGUUGUUGCCAGG